rnacentral:rRNA from 1 species
UACGUAGGGGGCGAGCGUUGUCCGGAAUUAUUGGGCGUAAAGAGCGUGUAGGCGGUCCGGUAAGUCCGCCGUGAAAACCUGGGGCUCAACCCCGGGCGUGCGGUGGGUACUGCUGGGCUAGAGGAUGGUAGAGGCGAGUGGAAUUCCCGGUGUAGCGGUGAAAUGCGCAGAUAUCGGGAGGAACACCAGUAGCGAAGGCGGCUCGCUGGGCCAUUCCUGACGCUGAGACGCGAAAGCUAGGGGAGCGAACAGG